AUGGCUCAGACUGUUGCCACUGGGAGGGCAUCGGGUGUGAUAGGGCCAGGUCAGGUGAUCACUUUGGACCUCAGUAAUCGUAACCUGCGGAGCACCAGUGGUCUCAGCCUAGCACUAUUCAACCUCACCUCUCUCACAAAUCUCAGCCUCUCUGGUAAUGACUUUGGCCUGACCAGUCUUCCUAGUUUUGGGUUUGAGCGGCUGACCGAGCUCCUCAGUCUCAAUUUUUCUAAUACGAGGUUGUUUGGUCAGAUACCCAUUGGAAUUGGUCACCUCCAAAUUUUGCGUACACUUGAUCUUUACUCUCAUAUUGACUGGCCUGGUUAUGCACACAAUGAUCUAUAUCUCCGAGAUCCAAGUUUUCAGACAUUCGUAUCAAAUUUUUGCAAUCUAAGAAAUCUCUAUCUUGAUAAUGUGCAAAUCGUAAACGGUGGAUCAACUUGGUCCAUUGCUUUAGCAGACUCUGUUCCUCUACUACAGAAUCUUGGUUCAUUGCUUUAG
rnacentral:rRNA from 1 species